GGGGUUUGUAGAGUCUCUCUCUCUGGAGAUAUUCAAGACCUACCUGAACAUCUUCCUGUGUGAUCUGGCAUAGGUGAUCCUGCUCUCCAGGGAUGCUGAACUGGAUGAGCUUUCGACGUCCCUCCCAGCCCCCAACAUUCUGUGAUUCUGCGCUAGGGCUCUAUGCCUGUACCAGUCUUGCCACCAACUGGCAUCCAAGCAACAUGCAGGAGGAAGAGGAAAGUGCCAAAUACUGGAGAUUAAGAUUAACAGAAGAAGAAUCUAGGCCAUAUUAAAAUUGACCUUCCUUAUGAGCUUUUCAAACAGCUUUGUUUCUGGAAGCUAGAGUUGCCACAGUUGGUCCAUAGGUCAGGCUGUGGUGCUUUGCCUGACCCAGGCUGAGGUGAAGAUGGCAGGAUUUGGCCUGCAUGUGUGCUCCACAAAGAACAUUGACUCUGCAGGAAUCAAUACAGAGUAUGUACAAUGACUGAGAUACAUCAUAAUAAAGGAGUAAUUACGUUAAA